AUGAUGUUCAGGGUGCAUGGAUUGGAUUGGACCUCUUCUCACAGUCCUCUGCAGUGCGCGAGGGCCAGCUAGCUAAGGUUUCGGUGGAAAGUUCAAGAGGCAAGGCUCCUGUCUAUAAAUUUAGGGUCAGGGCGGUGGCUCGCAUCACACACACAAACACAGUUGACAUACCGGCCGAUCAGGCUGCCGCUCCCAACGACUGAGGAAUACAGAGCGAUAUCAGUUGUUGUUGUGAGAAUGGAUAUGCUACGGAAGUCUCACUCUCUCAUCAUCAUGGCAUUGUUGCUGCUGGUGGUGGCUACGGAUGGCUCUCCGGAGUCGUGUCCAGGUGGCUUAUGUGAAAAACCAAGUGCCUCGUUCCGUGGUGGAUGUAUGAUUGACAAGCCCUGCAUAAAAGUUUGUCGCCAUGAGGGUUCGACAACUGGCUUUUGUAAAUCUGGAUGGUGGAUAUGGACAUGGACAUGCCAAUGUUGUAAGCCGUGCAAUCUCUAGAACUCCAGAGAUAUUAAGAUGACAUUACCCUGUGGUGCCGGCAUGCGUGUACUAUUUUGCUUACCAGCGUAUUUUUUAUCGU